rnacentral:rRNA from 1 species
CACCAGCGCCACAAGUGGGGACCAGUAUUAUUGGGUCUAAAGCGUCCGUAGCCGGAUAAGUAAAUCCUCUGUGAAAUCGUUGGGCUUAACCUAACGGCGCGCAGGGGAGACUACUAAUCUUGAGACCGGGAGGAGUCAGAGGUAUUCAUGGGGUAGCGGUAAAAUGCAAUAAUCCCAAGAAGACCACCUGUGGCGGAGGCGUCUGACUAGAACGGGUCUGACGGUGAGGGACGAAAGCUGGGGGA